rnacentral:rRNA from 1 species
AACGAACGCUGGCGGCAUGCCUAACACAUGCAAGUCGAACGAGACCUUCGGGUCUAGUGGCGCACGGGUGCGUAACGCGUGGGAACCUGCCCUUAGGUUCGGAAUAACUCCCCGAAAGGGGUGCUAAUACCGGAUAAUGUCUUCGGACCAAAGUUUUAUCGCCUUUGGAUGGGCCCGCGUUGGAUUAGCUAGUUGGUAGGGUAAAAGCCUACCAAGGCGACGAUCCAUAGCUGGUCUGAGAGGAUGAUCAGCCACACUGGGACUGAGACACGGCCCAGACUCCUACGGGAGGCAGCAGUGGGGAAUAUUGGACAAUGGGCGAAAGCCUGAUCCAGCAAUGCCGCGUGAGUGAUGAAGGCCUUAGGGUUGUAAAGCUCUUUUACCCGGGAUGAUAAUGACAGUACCGGGAGAAUAAGCUCCGGCUAACUCCGUG